rnacentral:rRNA from 1 species
AUGUGCCUCUCCAGCCACCGCGACCACCAUGUCCUCCAGAUACGGCGGUCCUCGAGGUACGGCGAGGUGACCCGGGUGGCGGAGCUGGACGAGGUUGCAGACAUGUCCCUGGUGCAGCCAUACGUGGUCAACCAUGAGAGGGUGGUGUACCUCAACCCAAGGUCGAAGGCGCCACAGCAUGCCGUCAAGUGCUUCAGGCCCGCCGGCGAAUGCCUGGUGUGCGACCGGAAAGUCGUCGAGCCAAUCUUCCGUUUCUGCUCCAUCUCCUACAAGCUUCAUGCAAUAGUGUCUGAUCCCAACUUGACAUCCAUUCUUGAUCCGGAAUGCAAGUGGGAAUACUCAAACUCAGACAAGGAAGAAGACCACGGCAGCGAUGCUCCUAGGCCUAGCAACUUUCAGCUGAUUGGAGGGACAAGCUACCGCCGCCAGCCUCGGUAG